CUUUGAACUUAAUUAAUCAGCUUUCUUUUUGCUUGCCGCCUUGUAGCAAUUCAUAGUGCUAAUAUCCUUUAUAUUUGCCCGUCUUUACUCAUGAUAGAUGAUUAAUAAAUAUUUGAUUGGUGAACAUUAUGAGACUUGGUAUGGAAUAUAUGGACACGACAUUCUCCCUACCCGUUUUUAAAUCUGAUAUCAAUGAAUCCUUGCCUCUCUCCUUCGGUCAUUAAAACAUCAAUGUGAUGAUUAUUCUAUCUAUAUGCUGUGUAUGUAUUCUUUUCUGAUUAGAAAACUUGGUCUGUAUCCAUGAAUAAAGCAACAGGGGUAACUGAAUUGCUCAGAAUCUUCCAACUGCAUAGAUAGAUUCAAUUUAAUACGCUAAUGAGCAUCAUCUAUUUUCUUCCUCGCCUCCUUGGUACUCUAGUUGUCCAUUUUCCUAAAGAAAUCUUGAGGUCAUUUCUUGUCGAGAGCCGAACAGAGAAACCUUAAUAGUUAAGUGAAUCAUCAUUCUAUUCACAUAGCUAACCUAGAAUAGGUGGGAUAAGCUUGGCUGGUCGACGUUAAUGGUCAUUACUUAGCUCAUAUAUGAGGACAAUUUUGAACUAUAAUUAUGUGGAAACUAAAUAUAGCUGUUGUCAGAGGGCGAGUUAUCAAACUUUCAUUUUUCAUUACAACGUGAGGGUCUAGUCUUCAACUUUAAAUUGGUUUUCAAUCUUUCUGUAUCUGAUUGUAAGACUUGCUGUCAACUUGUCGCCUUUCAAACUUCUGUUUGCCAUUUGUACAUGACAUCUGGACUUACCGUAAUGCGGAAUAUAUUUUUCUGGACUUUACUAAUUGCUGCUUAGUCUUCCACUCGUUAUUAUCUGCACGCUUAUUCCUGAGAACUGUCAUCGUGAUCAGGCUGCGUUGGCCUUUCUCCUCUAGCUGCAAAUUACAGAAAAUUACAGAUCAAGAAUCACGUCUAAAUCCAGGCAUUAGGCCUGCAAUUGUGGUUGACCCUGACUGGUGAAUUCUCAUCACAUGGCUUGCUUCAAGGUAAUGUGUAUGUUCGAGAGUAACUGUUAUUUGGGCAACGUUCAAGCUGCGAAAGCUUUGAAAAUGAUAGCCAAUAAAAAAUGGUGCUUUGAAUCCUGCAUGGUGAACCUGCGUUGAAUCAAACGGAUGCGAUUUUUCUUUUUGCGAACGUGAUAAAUUUUUUUGCCUGCUUUAUUCUGCAUCCAAGGUUAUCCAAGAUAACAUAGGGGAAUGGAAUGGAAGUGAUCCAGGACAAAUUGGAUUGCUUUUUUCUUCUGGGCCAUAAUAACAUAGUGGGUCCUUGGGGCGUGUAGACGGCCGCAGACCUGGGAACAAUGUUUUCGUUUGGAGGAACUGGCGAGUGGCGAGUGGCGACUGGCGUGUUCGAUUCCAAUCAUCAUUUGCCGCACUGUGUCCGAACACUUUGUAUCUGUGACUUUGCCCAGAUUAUUUGGGUCCCCUAAGCCGACUCUUUUACGCAGGCCAUUUGUCCUUUGGUUGAUAUCAAAGGGUUAGUUUGACCGCUGGAUGGGGAUGUUUUUUUUGGUAAAGUCGUUAACGAGAUCUGUAUUGCAAGAUAAGCAGUCUUUUUUUCAGUAGAAUUCACGUAGAGGGCAAUGAACGCUACCUGUGAAAAUGUGUUCUGCGUUUGGCUCCAGCAGCCGGUGAGCUAGCGUCCCAUGCGUUCAAAAAGAAGCUGCAUGAUGCCCAAGUGAUCCUGAAGCUUUAUAGAUAACCAUGUUUACAUCUUGGUGAGUUUGUAUCUCAAAUAAGACCAGCAAACAUGUAAGCAUAUUCCAUAAAGUUAGAAUACAAAAAUAUCCUGCAGAAUCGGUAGGCAUAAUUCACUGCC